GUACGGAGGGCGCAAGCGUUAAUCGGAAUUACUGGGCGUAAAGCGCACGUAGGCUGUAGUGUAAGUCAGGGGUGAAAUCCCACGGCUCAACCGUGGAACUGCCUUUGAUACUGCACAACUUGAAUCCGGGAGAGGGUGGCGGAAUUCCAGGUGUAGGAGUGAAAUCCGUAGAUAUCUGGAGGAACAUCAGUGGCGAAGGCGGCCACCUGGACCGGUAUUGACGCCGAGGUGCGAAAGCGUGGGGAGC
rnacentral:rRNA from 1 species